ensembl:lncRNA
UGUGACCCCAUAGACGGCAGCUCCCCCGUCCCUGGGAUUCUCCAGGCAAGAAUUCUGGAGUGGGUUGCCAUUUCCUUCUCCACAUCCCUCUGAUUCUUUCUUAGAAGGAAAGCAGGCCACUUUAGAUAAUCCCAUGACUCUUUGGUAAAGGACUUUUUUUAUUGCUGAUUUUAUUUAUUCCCAGAAGCCCCUGGAAACGGUUCCUCCCCCGCUGCUGACCUGCUGUCUGGAAUUGAGGUUCUGUGGUGAACUAGGUGGUUGGGCCAAUUAUCUAGCCGUCAAGACUGCCUGGACCUCAGCCUUCUCCUUACACAGAAUUAACUGAAGAUAUACAUUCUGAAGGCAUGGAAGUACCUCUCAAACUACUGUGAUCAUCCUGUCCCCAAGUUUAGGAUGCGGGACGCCUCUUUCCUCCCAGAAGCGGGGACCUGCACUCACCCCUUGGGGAUUGCUUCAGUGGCUUAAAGAAAAGUUGUCCUUGUAUCCUACCCGUCUGCCUGUUCUGCAGAGCCUGCGUGGGACUUGGUGCCAUAUCCCUGGGCUUCAAAACCUCGGAAGCUGGCGGAAACUGGCUAAAACCAGAGGCAGGAUGUUUCCCCCAAACCCGGCCCCCAGCCUGGAGAGAACCUACUUUUCCCACUCAGCACCUCUAGCUUGGGAGCUUAUAAAGGGCUAAUGAAGAAGCUCUAUAGGCCAACAUACCUUGGUUCUGUUUCCAGCGCCCUCACUAAAGGGCUGCUUGGUGACCUCAGGCAAAUUACUUACCUACUCUGAUCCUUAGUUGCUUCGUCUAAAAACGGAUGGAAUUGGACCAAGUGACUAUUAAUACUAAGGUCUUUUUCAGCUCUGAUGGUCAAAGAUGCUAAUGUUCUAUUUCCUGAGGAUAUAAAAAUAUAACACAAUUUUUUCCUUUAGGAAAAUUAUAUACUUAGAGGGAAGAAGACUAACAAGUAGAAAACAUACCUCAGGCUUGUUUCUCAUAUGGCAAAACAAAACCUAAUACAGAGUGUAUUUAAAAGAUGCAGUGCUUAUUAAAAGUUCUCCAAGUGCAAGGCAUUUAAAGCACUUGACUAGGAAUGGAUAUGGAGAAGGCAAUGGCACCCCACUCCAGUACUCUUGCCUGGAAAAUCCCAUGGACGGAGGAGCCUGGUGGGCUGCAGUCCAUGGGGUCGCUAGGAGUUGGACACGACUGAGCGACUUCACUUUGACUUUUCACUUUCAUGCACUGGAGGAGAAAAUGGCAACCCACUCCAGUGUUCUUUUGCCUGGAGAAUCCCAUGGACAGAGGAGCCUGGUGGACUGCCAUCUAUGGGGUCGCACACAGUCGGACACGACUGAAGCGACUUAACAGCAGCAGCAGUAGCAGGAAUGGAUAACAACAGUCAAAUAAAGGAAUGAACAGUCUGCUGUUUCUAAAGACUUUAUAUAUAAACACUCUUUUGAAAGAAAAAAGAAUAUAUUUCCAGUAAAGGAUAUAAAUGUAAAAGAUUACAACACACGACAGCACCGAAAUGAAGAAUAGAGAAACUGAGUGUUGUAAAGAAGAUUGAGACAGAACUAUAGCUGCCAUUGGAGAAGGAAAAAAUAAUGUCUUUCAUACAUCAUUUGCAUUAUAGCUAGAACAGGAAACAAGGCAAGAGUGAUCAGGUGAUUUUUGUUGUUGUUAUUAUUGUUCUAGGUCAAGACUCAAGACAGUCCAAAUAGGUUCAUAGUGUCAUUGCUG